rnacentral:lncRNA from 1 species
AAAAUAUCAAUAUAAAAAAAUACAAAAAAAUACUCUCUUUAGUUCAUUAAAAUGUAAAAGCACAAAAAUAUUUCUUUCAAUUCAUUUAAAUCUAAAAAGAUCAAAAAUAAACUUUUUUAAAAAUAACACCUAUACAUUAAUCAUCUAACUAAAAAAUAAAAUAAAAAUAAAAGACAAAAAAUACCUUUCACAGUUAAAAUUCACUGAAACUCAUCAAACUAAGUUUUCGCCCCGUGCGACAAAUUCCCUUUUUUCCCCUGAGCGAC